rnacentral:rRNA from 1 species
UACGAAGGGUGCAAGCGUUACUCGGAAUUACUGGGCGUAAAGGGUGCGUAGGUGGUUGUUUAAGUCUGUUGUGAAAGCCCCGGGCUCAACCUGGGAAUGGCAAUGGAUACUGGACAGCUAGAGUGCGGUAGAGGGUAGUGGAAUUCCCGGUGUAGCAGUGAAAUGCGUAGAGAUCGGGGGGAACACCAGUGGCGAAGGCGGCUACCUGGACCAGCACUGACACUGAAGCACGAAAGCGUGGGGAGCAAACAGG